rnacentral:rRNA from 1 species
AGUCAACAUGCCCAGGGGACGUGGAUAACCUCGGGAAACUGAGGAUAAACCGCGAUAGGCCAUGAUUUCUGGAAUGGUUCAUGGCCGAAAUCUAUAUGGCCCCUGGAUUGGACUGCGGCCGAUCAGGCUGUUGGUGAGGUAAUGGCCCACCAAACCUGUAACCGGUACGGGCUCUGAGAGGAGGAGCCCGGAGAUGGGCACUGAGACAAGGGCCCAGGCCCUAUGGGGCGCAGCAGGCGCGAAAUCUCUGCAAUAGGCGAAAGCUUGACAGGGUUACUCUGAGUGAUUCCCGCUAAGGGGAUCUUUUGGCACCUUUUAAAAUGGUGCAGAAUAAAGGGUGGGCAAGUCUGGUGUCAGCCCC